AUUGAACGCUGGCGGCAGGCCUAACACCUGCAAGUCGAACGGCAGCACAGAAGAGCUUGCUCUUUGGGUGGCGAGUGGCGGACGGGUGAGUAAUGUCUGGGAAACUGCCCGAUGGAGGGGGAUAACUACUGGAAACGGUAGCUAAUACCGCAUAACGUCGCGAGACCAAAGUGGGGGACCUUCGGGCCUCACACCAUCGGAUGUGCCCAGAUGGGAUUAGCUAGUAGGUGGGGUAAUGGCUCACCUAGGCGACGAUCCCUAGCUGGUCUGAGAGGAUGACCAGCCACACUGGAACUGAGCCACGGUCCAGACUCCUACGGGAGGCAGCAGUGGGGAAUAUUGCACAAUGGGCGCAAGCCUGAUGCAGCCAUGCCGCGUGUAUGAAGAAGGCCUUCGGGUUGUAAAGUACUUUCAGCGGGGAGGAAGGCGGUGAGGUUAAUAACCUUGCCGAUUGACGUUACCCGCAGAAGAAGCACCGGCUAACUCCGUGCCAGCAGCCGCCGUAA
rnacentral:rRNA from 1 species